rnacentral:rRNA from 1 species
CCUACGGGAGGCAGCAGUGGGGAAUAUUGGUCAAUGGAGGAAACUCUGACCCCGCAAUGUCGCGUGAGUGAAUACGGUCCUCUGAUUUUUAAGUCCUUUUGUCAGGGAAGAAUAAAAUGACGGUACCUGACGAAUAAAGUCCGCCUAACAACUUGCCAUCAGCGGCGAGAGUAUGUAGGGCGGAAGCGUUGCUGGGGCUGACCGGGCGUCAAGGGUGCGUGGGGUGUUAUACAAGUUAGAGGUGAAAUACCCAGGGCUUCACUCGGGUGCUGCCUCUAAAACUGUAGGACUUGAGUGCGGGAGAGGUAAGUGGAAUGCGUAGUGUAGCGGUGGAAUGCAUAGAUAUUACGCAGAACCCC